rnacentral:rRNA from 1 species
UACGAAGGGGGCGAGCGUUGUUCGGAUUUACUGGGCGUAAAGGGCGCGCAGGCGGCGCAUUUUGUCAGGCGUGAAAGCCCCGGGCUUAACCUGGGAACUGCGUUUGAAACUGGCGGGCUUGAGUAUGGCAGAGGGGGGUGGAAUUCCGCGUGUAGCAGUGAAAUGCGUAGAGAUGCGGAGGAACACCGAUGGCGAAGGCAGCCCCCUGGGCCAAUACUGACGCUCAGGCACGAAAGCGUGGGGAGCAAACAGG